UACGUAGGGUGCGAGCGUUGUCCGGAAUUACUGGGCGUAAAGAGCUCGUAGGCGGUUUGUCGCGUCUGCCGUGAAAGUCCGGGGCUCAACUCCGGAUCUGCGGUGGGUACGGGCAGACUAGAGUGAUGUAGGGGAGACUGGAAUUCCUGGUGUAGCGGUGAAAUGCGCAGAUAUCAGGAGGAACACCGAUGGCGAAGGCAGGUCUCUGGGCAGUUACUGACGCUGAGGAGCGAAAGCGUGGGGAGCGAACAGG
rnacentral:rRNA from 1 species